GAUGAACGCUGGCGGCGUGCCUAAUACAUGCAAGUAGAACGCUGAAGGAAGGAGCUUGCUCUUUCCGGAUGAGUUGCGAACGGGUGAGUAACGCGUAGGUAACCUGCCUGGUAGCGGGGGAUAACUAUUGGAAACGAUAGCUAAUACCGCAUAACAGUAGAUGUUGCAUGAUAUCUACUUAAAAGGUGCAAUUGCACCACUACCAGAUGGACCUUCGUUGUAUUAGCUAGUUGGUGAGGUAACGGCUCACCAAGGCGACGAUACAUAGCCGACCUGAGAGGGUGAUCGGCCACACUGGGACUGAGACACGGCCCAGACGCCUACGGGAGGCAGCAGUAGGGAAUCUUCGGGAAGGGACGGAAGUCUGACCGAGCAACGCCGCGUGAGUGAAGAAGGUUUUCGAAUCGGAAAGCUCGGUUGUAAGAGAAGAACGAGUGUGAGAGUGGAAAGUUCACACUGUGACGGUAUCUUACCAGAAAGGGACGGCUAACUACGUG
rnacentral:rRNA from 1 species